UAGAGUUUGAUCAUGGCUCAGAUUGACCGCUGCGGCAUGCUUUACGCAUGCAAGUCGAACGGUAACAGGCCUUCGGGCGCUGACGAGUGGCGAACGGGUGAGUAAUGCAUCGGAACGUGCCCAGUCGUGGGGGAUAACUGCUCGAAAGAGCAGCUAAUACCGCAUACGACCUGCGGAUGAAAGCGGGGGACCUUCGGGCCUCGCGCGAUUGGAGCGGCCGAUGUCAGAUUAGGUAGUUGGUGGGGUAAAGGCUCACCAAGCCAACGAUCUGUAGCUGGUCUGAGAGGACGACCAGCCACACUGGGACUGAGACACGGCCCAGACUCCUACGGGAGGCAGCAGUGGGGAAUUUUGGACAAUGGGCGCAAGCCUGAUCCAGCAAUGCCGCGUGCAGGAAGAAGGCCUUCGGGUUGUAAACUGCUUUUGUACGGAACGAAACGGUCUGGGUUAAUACCCCGGGCUAAUGACGGGUACCGUAAA
rnacentral:rRNA from 1 species